GACGAACGCUGGCGGCGUGCUUAACACAUGCAAGUCGAACGGAGUGGCGAACGGAUGAGUAACACGUGGGUGACCUGCCAUGCACUUCGGGAUAAGCAGGGGAAACUGGGUCUAAUACCGGAUAGUGUGGGAUGGGCGCGCGGCCUAUCGGCUUGUCGGUGGGGUAAUGGCCUACCAAUGCGGGGACGGGUAGCCGGCCUGGGAGGGUGGACGGCCACAUUGGGACUACGACAGGGCCCAGACUCCAACGGGAGGCAGCAGUGGGAAGUAUUGCACAAUGAGCGGGAGCCUGAUGCGACGACGCCGGGUGGGGAAUGACGGCCUUCGGGUUGUAAACUCCUUUCUCCAUCGACGCGGUAGAUGGAGAAGAAGCACCGGCUAACUCCGUGCCAGCCGCCGCGGUAAUUC
rnacentral:rRNA from 1 species